GACCUGGGGUGGUUUCCCGGCAGCCCCUGGCGCGCUCUGCCCCCAUCCUCCUUGGAGGGGCUGCUGUAGGGUGUGUGUGCCUGAGCCACUCGGACCACACUGCACGCCCUACUCUGCGUCUGCGGCUUGCAUUGGCCGAAGCUCUUGGAGACUGUUGCACACACAGCUGCCUCGGGUUUGAGAAACACAGCUGCAUGAUACCGUCUUGAUGUACCGUGUCGUGUUGGGCCAGCUCACUGGGCACACAGGAGCUGUCUCAGCUUUUCCCUGGGCAGGGUGAACAUUCACGUUUUCACGUGGCCUUCCUUUGUGAGACUGGGCUGCGCUUCCUUUCUGUGCUCACGGGCUUUUUACAUCACUCUUCUGCGAUCCUCACGAAGUGGGGAAUUCCACUUUCUCACCACCUGUGCAGCUGUGAUGGUGUCCUUAAGGGUGUGCCGGGCUCACCUGUGAAGCCACCUGGGCCUGGAGCCUUCAUAGCCCUGUUGUUGUGCCAGCGUCCCAGCCCUGGAUACCUCUGCCAAGAUCAGCAGACGGCAGCCCCACCCACACACAGGCACCAAGGGGGUGCAUUGUCUAUGAAGAAUUAAGAAUGACAGCACAGCCAGCCACUGAUACCCUGUGCUGUCAACCGUGAACAGUCAGGGAAAGAAUACACGGUUCUCUGAGAGGACCUACCCUGGGUCACCGCUGGGGCAUCCCAGGGCACACCUUCCCCAGCAAGCCAGCACAGCCCAGCCAGUUUCACGGCCGGAGGGCAUGCCGUCACAGACCCAGGACGCUCUCAAUGAACCCCCUGGUGAGAAGAUGGGAGCAAAGGCUUCUUCAGGUCAGUUCUGCAGCAUUAUGAAAAUAUUAGGGAAAAUUCCAAAGAAACCCCAGGCUUAAGGAAAUUAAGCAAGGCAGUUCCUCAAAAUUUAAAUAUAGAACUACCACAUGGUCCAGCCCUCCACUCCUGUACCCAGAGCCGAAAGUCAGGUCUUGAAGGGAUGCAGGUGCACCCAUCCCACAGGUGGCACACGAGGCAGCCACACAGGUGCCAUCGACCGAGGAGUG
rnacentral:lncRNA from 1 species